UCCAACUGAGCAGGCGAUGACUUAACGGUCAUGCGGCCGGGUCGCUUAACGCGGCAGCAGAUGUAAAGCAUGCGACUGUAAACGCAUCUGCGGGACAGU
rnacentral:ncRNA from 1 species